rnacentral:rRNA from 1 species
AGUCGAGCGAAGUUUAUUUAGCAGCGACUUCGGUCAAAGCUGAUUAAACUUAGCGGCGAACGGGUGAGUAACACGUAGGCAACCUGCCCAUGACACGGGGAUAGCUUCGGGAAACCGGAGGUAAUACCCGAUACCUUUACUUAUUGCAUGAUAAGUAAAGAAAGCGAAUAGCGGUCAUGGAUGGGCCUGCGUCCCAUUAGCUAGUUGGUGAGAUAACAGCCCACCAAGGCGACGAUGGGUAGCCGACCUGAGAGGGUGACCGGCCACACUGGAACUGAGACACGGUCCAGACUCCCACGGGAGGCAGCAGUGGGGAAUCUUGCGCAAUGGGCGAAAGCCUGACGCAGCGACGCCGCGUGAGCGAAGAAGGCCUUCGGGUCGUAAAGCUCAGUCAUUGGGGAUGAGAUGACAGUACCCAAGGAGGAAGCCCCGGCUAACUACGUGCCAGCAGCCGCGGUAAUACGUAGGGGGCGAGCGUUGUCCGGAAUUACUGGGUGUAAAGGGCGUGUAGGCGGGGGUGCAAGUUACCGGUAAAAACCCAGGGCUCAACUCUGGGCUUGCCGGUAAAACUGCAUCUCUUGAGUGUAGGAGAGGGAAGUGGAAUUCCCGGAGUAGCGGUGAAAUGCGUA